GCCCUCGUAGAGAAAUGGUAACUCAUCAGACUCCUAAUCUGAAGAUUGCGGUAAGCCCUCCUCACCUCGCGAUCGUGGUCACGACUAACAAACGACUAGGGUUCGAGUCCCGCCGGGGGCU